rnacentral:snRNA from 1 species
GGAUGUGAGGGCAAUCUGGCAGUGACAUCUGCCACCCCACUGAUCACCAGGGUUGAUUCAGCUGACCUGGGUGGCUAAGUGGGUGUACUCCUCCUCCUUCACUGCUCCAUGUGCAUCCCCCCUGAAGCUAUGUGCCUGGUUGAAGAGGGUCGAAGAGGAUGACUACCUCUGAUAGAGGAGGACUAUUUCCUUGGUUAAGGCUAUGCUAGUAGCUGUGCUCCCCUGCUAGAACCUCCAAACAAGCUCUCAAAAUAAACUCCCGUUUUUCAGUUGAUUACAAGUUUUUUGUUACAGGGAUGAAAUCUGGACUAACACAGAGAGGAGCCU